rnacentral:lncRNA from 1 species
GAGCAGUGGAUAAUGCAGUGGUGAUGUGCUUCAGAACCUGACAUUCUGCCAAAGGCCAGGAGCGUGGAAGGAGCAGGGAAUACUUGUCGCAACAGAUCUGCAUCUUCCGAGGCUUUUAUUAUCAACCUUAAGUAAGCAAAAAAACAAAGAAAUGUUGCAAAAGAGGCAUUUUCCCCAAGCCACUGAACUUGUCUACCAGGGAAAGUGAGUACCAAUGAAGUCAGGAAAGCAGAUAUCAGUGGACCACCUUAUGUCAAGCAAGAGCAUCAAUGAGAUGCAAUCCCGUAUGUGCACAGUGAAUUCUCCAUGACGUUUGACUGAAGGAGAGAGAGACUGUAACAAGUGUAAAGCUUUUUAUUUGGAACGUCUGUAUCAGCUCAGUAUCAGUAAUAUAUAUUUUUUUUCUUAAAAUGAC